GCCCAAACCCCUGUGGACCGUCAGGGCGUUUGCCGUUGCAUCAAAAAUGCUAUCGGAGGAGUCUCUUUCUCUUCUAACAACCUCAACAAUGCUCAGUCUCUGCCUGCUAAGUGUGGUGUGAAUCUCCCUUACAGUAUCAGCCCUUCCACCAACUGCGACAGUAUCAACUGAGAGAAUGAAGAAAAGGAAGCUACUACUAUUACUACAAGAACUAAGAAGUCAGUAAUAAAUUAGAACGUAUGGUUUGCUACUUACCUACGUUAAUGUGUGAUGUAUCGUCACUUCUAUGUUCUUGAGAGUUAUAAUAAACUAUCAACAUGCA